AUGAAAGAAGUGGUAAGAAAAGAAAUACUAAAGCUUCUGGAGGCAGGUAUAAUUUAUCCCAUUGCUGAUAGUCAGUGGGUAACUCCUGUCCAUUGUGUCCCUAAGAAGGGAGGUAUUACUGUUGUUCCUAAUGAUAAAGAUGAAUUGAUCCCGCAAAGAAUUGUAACAGGUUAUAGGAUGCUAAUUGAUUUCCGCAAAUUAAAUAAAGCUACUAGAAAAGAUCAUUACCCUUUUCCUUUUAUUGACCAAAUGCUAGAAAGAUUAUCCAAACAUACACAUUUUUGCUUUCUAGAUGGUUACUCUGGUUUCUCUCAAAUAUCUAUGUCAAAAGAGGAUCAAGAAAAGACCACUUUUACUUGCCCUUUCGGUACUUUUUCUUAUAGAAGUAUGCCUUUUGGUUUAUGUAAUGCACCUGCUACCUUUCAAAGAUGCAUGAUGGCUAUAUUCUCUGACUUUUGUGAAAAGAUUGUUGAGGUUUUCAUGGAUGACUUCUCCGUUUAUUCAUCUUCUUUUGAUGAUUGCUUGAGCAACCUUGAUCGAGUUUUGCAGAGAUGUGAAGAAACUAAUCUUGUCUUGAAUUGGGAAAAGUGCGACUUUAUGGUUAAUGAAGGCAUUGUCUUGGGGCAUAAAGUUUCUGAAAGAGGUAUUGAAGUUGAUAAAGCUAAAGUUGAUGCUAUUGAAAAUAUGCCGUGUCCUAAGGACAUUAAAGGUAUAAGAAGUUUCCUUGGUCAUGCCGGUUUCUAUAGGAGGUUCAUUAAAGACUUCUCUAAAAUCUCCAGGCCUCUGACUAAUCUCUUACAAAAAGAUAUUCCUUUUGUCUUUGAUGAUGAUUGUGUAGAAGCAUUUGAAAUACUUAAGAAAGCUUUGAUUUCUGCACCUAUUGUUCAGCCACCUGAUUGGAAUUUACCCUUUGAAAUUAUGUGCGAUGCUAGUGAUUAUGCCGUAGGUGCUAUUCUAGGACAAAGAGUUGAUAAGAAACUAAAUGUUAUUCAAUAUGCUAGUAAAACUCUAGACAGUGCCAGAGAAAUUAUGCUACUACUGAAAAAGAAUUUUUAG
rnacentral:rRNA from 1 species